UGCAUCAAACGUUUCCUUCCUUCCUCCCAUCUUUGAUGCCUUCCUUCUUUCUUCUCCACUGUGAUAGGUGCUGUGAACCUGGUGGGAAAGAAGAGAUGUGGACAGCAGUUGUCACAGCGCAGUACAUUCUGCGCCAUCGUCCUAAAGGUGAAGAACUGAAGAUAUAAGGGGAUUGAAGAAGAACAAGUCACAAUCCAAAUCAGGUCUUCCUCUGGUAAAUUGAAAACGGUACCUCCCCUCUGUGAAUCUACCAC
rnacentral:lncRNA from 1 species